rnacentral:pre_miRNA from 1 species
GUGAUACUCCCUCCGUCCGGAAAUACUUGUCAUCAAAAUGGAUAAAAGGGAAUGUAUCUAGACGUAUUUUAGUUAUAGAUACAUCUUUUUUUAUCCAUUUUGAUGACAAGUAUUUUCGGAUGAAGGGAGUAUUAU